rnacentral:rRNA from 1 species
AACAGGAUUAGAUCCUUGGUAGUCCACGCCUUAAACGAUGGCAACUAGUUGUUGGGGGGAGCAAUCCCUUAGUAAUGAAGCUAACGCGUGAAGUUGCCCGCGUGGGGAGUACGGUCGCAAGAUUAAAACUCAAAGGAAUUGGCGGGGGCCCGCACAAGCGGUGGAUGAUGUGGUUUAAUUCGAUGCAACGCGAAAAACCUUACCUACCCUUGACAUGCCAGGAACCCCGAUGAGAGUUGGGGGUGCUCGAAAGAGAACCUGGACACAGGUGCUGCAUGGCUGUCGUCAGCUCGUGUCGUGAGAUGUUGGGUUAAGUCCCGCAACGAGCGCAACCCUUGCCAUUAGUUGCUACGAAAGGGCACUCUAAUGGGACUGCCGGUGACAAACCGGAGGAAGGUGGGGAUGACGUCAAGUCCUCAUGGCCCUUAUGGGUAGGGCUACACACGUCAUACAAUGGCCGGUACAAAGGGCAGCCAACCCGCGAGGGGGAGCCAAUCCCAUAAAGCCGGUCGUAGUCCGGAUCGCAGUCUGCAACUCGACUGCGUGAAGUCGGAAUCGCUAGUAAUCGUGGAUCAGCAUGUCACGGUGAAUACGUUCCCGGGUCUUGUACACACCGCCCGUCACACCAUGGGAGCGGGUCUCGCCAGAAGUAGUUAGCCUAACCGCAAGGAGGGCGAUUACCACGGCGGGGUUCGUGACUGGGGUGAAGUCGUAACAAGGUAACC